AAGCGGCAACAGCUCAAAUUUGAAAUCUGGCGCAAGCCCGAGUUGUAAUUUGUAGAGGAUGCUUCUAGGUAGCGACCGGUCUAAGUUCCUUGGAACAGGACGUCAUAGAGGGUGAGAAUCCCGUAUGUGACCGGCCCGCACCUUCUACGUAGCUCCUUCGACGAGUCGAGUUGUUUGGGAAUGCAGCUCUAAAUGGGAGGUAAAUUUCUUCUAAAGCUAAAUACCGGCCAGAGACCGAUAGCGCACAAGUAGAGUGAUCGAAAGAUGAAAAGCACUUUGGAAAGAGAGUUAAAAAGCACGUGAAAUUGUUGAAAGGGAAGCGCUUACAACCAGACUUCUGGGCGGUGUUCCGCCGGUCUUCUGACCGGUCUACUCACCGUCCCGAGGCCAACAUCAUCUGGGACCGCCGGAUAAGACCUUAGGAAUGUAGCUCCCCUCGGGGAGUGUUAUAGCCUGUGGUGAUGCGGCGCGUCUCGGGUGAGGUCCGCGCUUCGGCAAGGAUGUUGGCGUAAUGGUUGUCAGCGGCCCGUCUUGAAACACGGACCAAGGAGUCUAACAUCUAUGCGAGUGUUCGGGUGUCAAACCCCUACGCGUAAUGAAAGUGAACGGAGGUGGGAAGGGUAACCUGCACCAUCGACCGAUCCUGAUGUCCUCGGAUGGAUUUGAGUAAGAGCAUAGCUGUUGGGACCCGAAAGAUGGUGAACUAUGCCUGAAUAGGGUGAAGCCAGAGGAAACUCUGGUGGA
rnacentral:rRNA from 1 species